UACAGAGGUCCCAAGCGUUGUUCGGAUUCAUUGGGCGUAAAGGGUGCGUAGGCGGCGCGGUAAGUCGGGUGUGAAAUUUCGAGGCUUAACUUCGAAACUGCAUUCGAUACUGCCGUGCUAGAGGACUGGAGAGGAGACUGGAAUUUACGGUGUAGCGGUGAAAUGCGUAGAUAUCGUAAGGAAGACCAGUGGCGAAGGCGGGUCUCUGGACAGUUCCUGACGCUGAGACACGAAAGCGUGGGUAGCAAACGGG
rnacentral:rRNA from 1 species